AACAACUGUGGCAUUUUAAUCCCGAUCCAACAAACUAAUCUCAUCUUUCCUGAUCUAUUUUCCAGUAUUCUGUCAGAAUCAUAAUUAUGCAAUAAUAAUUCAUUUACAUAUCAAAAGUAUUGCUUCUUAUAUUGUCUUGUUGUUAGAAAAGUAGUAUCACUCAAGUUUUAUGUAUAAUAAAAUAAUCCAAACAAUAUUUCUUCUGACUUUCUGUCCCAUGUUGUCUUCAGUGUGUUGAGAGCAGAGAAAUCAUUUCCAUAGAGAGGAGGCUUUGCAUCAUCAGCUGAUCCUCCAGAGAACUGAGAAGGUUUAUAGUCCUGUGAGUUCAACACUGCAGGACUCACAUCUGUCAGUCAACACAGCAGAAAGCACAACCACCAUGACUCUCAUCACCAUCCUCAUCUGGACGCUGACCUGCUGCUGUUUUACAGGAUGCAGCGGUCAGAUGACUGUGACUCAACCUCCAGUAGAGACAUCUACUCCUGGAUCCACUGUCACUCUGACCUGUAGGACCAACCCAGCUGUUGGAACUUGUGGUGGUAAACCUUGUCUGUCCUGGUAUCAACAAAAAUCUGGACAAACUCCAGAGGUCCUAAUAAGGCAAGGCAGCAUAAUACAGUCAGGAACACCAUCUCGAUUUAGUGGCAGUGGAAGCAGCUCUGACUUCUCUAUGAGCAUCAGUGGAGUUCAGGCUGAAGAUGCAGCAGUUUACUACUGUCAGAGUGUGCAUAACGGGCCAGUGUUCACACAGUGAUUUGUAGUCGUACAAAAACCUCCCUCAGUCACACUAUAGAGACACUGAACUGUUACAACAGGAAGUGACUACUGUCACAGCCGGGUGGCCGGUACAUGGUGUGAAGCCUGUAGCAGACACUUGAGACAGGAAUAACUUCAUGAAAAGCAAGCCAUUUAUUGAUGGCAAACAAUAUAAACAAAAAGUAAAGAAAAGUAGAACUGUGUUAAAAACCAGAAAAGGGAAAUGAAAACAAUUACAUGACUGUAUGCAGAGCACAAGGGAAUGAGCAACACGGAGGGAAGAGAGGGAGCGAGGGGACAAGAACUGAGGUUGAAGAGCUCAGGAAAGGGAGGGGGACAUGACUGGCUUGGGAGAACAUGCAUAAACACACAUGACAGAAUGAGACAAGGAGGGGAACAUGUAAACAGAAAAGGGAGACAAGAUACACUGACAAGAAAACAUGGAAACAGAAAUAUAACUAAAGUCAACAAUAAAUGAUAGAAAACUGAAACAUUGCAACAAUGAUUUCUAUUGAUUUAUCUCAAAGACCAAACACAUAAUCAUUUCACAGAUAAUAAAAAGGUUUAUUAGCAACCAUACUAAUUUUAACCAUGGCAUUAAGCACGUUCACAAGCAUGUUGUUGUUGUCAACACUUUAGGACGCAAAAAGACAAGUUGCUAUUAUAACAAUAAGCUUAUGAUAUGUUGACAGACAUGAGUAUUAUGUAUGUAUCUGUCAUGGGGAUGGAACAGACUCAGGCGCAGACCAGCUUGUUCAGAAUGAAAAGUCAAUAGUUUAUUAAUACGAAAACACCAGGUGAAAAUAUAUAGAGUGUAAGGGGUUGUGGCUCCAGGGAUCCAGGGAAAGAAGGGAAAGAAGGGAAAGAAGGUCCAUGAAACACACUCCACUCACAUGCGCUCCACACUGUGCUCCAAACUCCUCUUCAGGCCCUCACGCUCCCGCUCCACUAAACUUCAGGCCACACUACCAGACUCGGGAACAGGUCAGGAAACAGGGAUAGGUCCAGGAAUCUAUAUACAAAGAAAGCACGAACAGAGAUUAUAGAGGCUGACUGAGGUUACUUAACGUUCCAGCGACAAGGUACACUGAUCUUAAGUAGUGGCUCAGGCAAUCAGACAGCGGCAGGUGGUUGAUUAGACCAGGUGCGUGAGCCAAGAUGAAAUCCGCUCAUGUUGACAGAAGAAAGGAGAGAGGGAGCAACAACAACAAUACCAAAAAAACAUAUAGCCUAGAAUCCAGGUCAGCCAGGGAGACAUGAAGACCAUGACAGUAUCAUGUGAAAAAGAAAACUCGGGUGGUGCUUCUUCAAAAAGGAAAUUUUGUUAUGAAGAGAAACUGUAUUUAUUUUAAUUUUUUUAAAAAGGCAACUUGCACAUCAGAUCUACUUUUUAACCCCACAAGAACAGAUGUGUGCUUGCCUCAUGAGAUGUACUUUGCAUGUUUUUUAUGCCUCAUUGCUCCUCAGAGUUUAACUUCUUCUGUCACUGAGAGUCUUAACUGUUCAUUCAUUCACACAGAAAUCUCUAUUAGGAGGAGGUUAAAAUUAUAGUUUUUCUGUUGUUUUCUCAUGCGAUGUAAAAUAAAUAAGCAAGCAAAUCUGACAGCGUUAUCAGCAAUAAUUCAUAAGUAGGUCUGCUAUUGGAAUAAGUGCACGAAAAGAAAUAGGUUUUUAUAGUAUUUUCCACUGAUCUGCAUAAAAUAAUAAACUUGUAUACAUUAUAAUGAUUUAGUAAUGAAAAAUGUUAUUAUUCAUGACCUAUACUAUACUGAUAAAAACUACUUAAUAGAAUAUAGCAUAAUAGCAUUCACUAUAUUUUGAAGAAAAAGUAUUUCUGGUACAAAUAUGAGGAUUAAUCAAGCAUUUUAAUAAACUGUUGUGAAAAGGACAAAGCAAAAGUUAUUUUUCAUAAGGUGUGAUUUUAUUUUAUGAUGUGGAAUUGGUAUUUUUCUUUAAAGCACUAUAUGGUGGGGUCUGGUCUGCACUUCAGCUGCAGAAGCAAGGUAGUCUGGCAGGUUUAGGUGGUAAUGUUCAUCUAAUCAUGCCUUCCCUAUUUUAGUAGCACUCUGGGGUUUAGAGGAGAGAGGAAAACUGAGUGGGCGCUUUGCAAGCAAACAAAAGAUUGAGGGAUACACAAAUUGUACUCUGCCAACUGGUUCUGCACUCGAGUCCAGUUCUGCACAGGCCUUCGGCCUCUUUUCAAAAUAAGAUGAUCAUUUGUAACCUUCACUAAAGCUGUUUCUGUAAUGCAAUGAGCUCUGAAACCUGAAUAAAACUCCUCAAAUA